rnacentral:rRNA from 1 species
ACGGGGUGCAGCAGGCGCGAAACCUUUACACUGCACGACAGUGCGAUAAGGGAAUCCCAAGUGCGUAGGCAUAGAGCCUACGCUUUUGUCCACCGUAGGGAGGUGGACGAAUAAGGGCUGGGCAAGACCGGUGCCAGCCGCCGCGGUAAUACCGGCAGCCCGAGUGAUGGCCGAUCUUAUUGGGCCUAAAGCGUCCGUAGCUGGCCGCGCAAGUCUAUCGGAAAAUCCACCCGCUCAACGGGUGGGCGUCCGGUAGAAACUGCGUGGCUUGGGACCGGAAGGCGCGACGGGUACGUCCGGGGUAGGAGUGAAAUCCUGUAAUCCUGGACGGACCGCCGAUGGCGAAAGCACGUCGCGAAGACGGAUCCGACAGUGAGGGACGAAAGCUAGGGUCUCGAACCGGAUUAGAUACCCGGGUAGUCCUAGCCGUAAACAAUGCCUGCUAGGUGUGGCUCCCACUACGAGUGGGUGCUGUGCCGUAGGGAAGCCGCUAAGCAGGCCGCCUGGGAAGUACGUCCGCAAGGAUGAAACUUAAAGGAAUUGGCGGGGGAGCAC